CUGCUGCUGCUGCUGCUGCUGCUGCUGCUGCUUCUGCUGCUGCUGCUGCUGCUGCUGCUGCUGCUGCUGCUGCUGCUGCUGCUGCUGCUGCUGCUGCUGCUGCUGCUGCUGCUGCUGCUGCUGCUGCUGCUGCUGCUACUACUACACCACCUAUUUAGAGUGUUAUUUUCA